UUUUUUUUUUUUUCCUUUUUCCCUGAGAUGGUGAAAUAAAUGUUCUAGAAAAGGUUAACUCUUGAAGGACAGGAAGCGGUGCUUCGAAAGGACAGAGUGAGCCUCCUCCAAGGUGCUGGGAACAAGAUGAACACAUACCUGCCAACUGUCCCUGUGUGGGAAGCACUGCCCUUGGGGAUGUGUAAGGCCGGGAGGGAGGAGGAGGAGAGACCUUCUCCCCACUCAGUCUCUUCAGAAUUCCCUCCAGUUCAGGAUCUCCCAGCAUAAUUAAAGGGCCGUCCCCUUUCUUCCCCUCGGCAUCACCACAUACAGUUCUCAGAUGUUCGUGGAAAUGAAUUAAUUCACCACUGAACUUGUAACAUGCCUGGUGCCUUUAGUGCUCAUUACCAUCACAGGACAGCUAGCGGGAUUAGAUCCAUUAUGCGGACUCCAUGUGUGGUUAAUGGCGAAGUCUGUGCGUGACAUCACAGCGGGAACAAUGGGCACAGCACUGCAUUGCUGCGCCGCGGCCGCGCAGUGCGCUCCGGGGCAGCCUCUAACGAGAUCAAGAUGGGCACGCAUCUGUGCUCCCAGAGAAGGCAGGGAACGCCAAGGAGCGGUCAGACGGCGAGUGGCACAGAACAGGAAGAAUGGAGCAUCUGGGGGAUUCUGUGUAUGUACCGGAAUGUGACCGGUUCUGAGGGCUUUGUUUAAAACUGAGAACAAAUCAACAGCCCUGCAGAUGAACGCAUUGCCCCCUUCCUUCUCUAAACGUGGAUCUCCACCUUUCAAAAUUGCAUGCUUUUAUCUCUGUAUGUGAAUGGCAUUAUGUGAAAUGACACACUGCAACUGAACAAACCGAAGGAAGUGAGUCUCCACCCCACACGCUUUCAGCUCACAUUGCACAGAUAAUCUGCUUCACCAGCCGAUGGUAAAAACCCGGGGCUUUUUCAAACGGGCACCAAAAUUCUUUAAGUUUCACUCCAGUCCCACUUAUUUUUCAGUGGGCACGUUGUUUGGAAGGCUUUUGGUUGUGAAUGUGUUAAGCCAAGGUGAAAGAAAGCAGUCACUUGCAGAACAUGCCCGGGAGAUUGUGUCCAAAGCAGCACAAACAGGCAGGCAGACGUGUACGCGCAUGCACGCACGCACUUUUCACCUUCUCUGAUUUUUCUGUUAGUUCCCGUUCUCCAACAAAUUAAGGCAUCUGUGAUUCUGAGUUUUCUGUCUGACAUCAAAUCCUGCCGGCUAAAACAAUCUGCAUAUGCAAAUCUAGAUCA
ensembl:lncRNA